rnacentral:sRNA from 2 species
UUUAACAUCAAACUCAGAUGUUGAGCGUGAAGGAUAACGUUGCGUCAGCGACGGCCCGUAGGGCGAGGCGAAGCCGAGUCAUCCUGCACGACCCACCA